AUGUCAGAUCAGGGUCAGAUCAGGGCUAACAAACAGAUCCACUGUUAUUCCCAUCAUCCACAGACCAUCGUUACGGGAGCCAGACAAACAAACAGACAGACCAUAGUUACGGGAGCCAGACAAACAAACAGACAGACCAUCGUUACGGGAGCCAGACAAACAAACAGACAGACCAUCGUUACGGGAGCCAGACAAACAAACAGACAGACCAUCGUUACGGGAGCCAGACAAACAAACAGACAGACCAUGGUUAUGGGAGCCAGACAAACAAACAGAGAGACCAUGGUUAUGGGAGCCAGACAAACAAACAGACAGACAAUGGUUAUGGGAGCCAGACAAACAAAGAGACAGACCGUGGUUAUGGGAGCCAGACAAACAAACAGACAGACCAUGGUUAUGGGAGCCAGACAAACAAACAGACAGACCAUGGUUAUGGGAGCCAGACAAACAAACAGAGAGACCAUGGUUAUGGGAGCCAGACAGACCAUGGUUAUGGGAGCCAGACAGACCAUGGUUAUGGGAGCCAGACAAACAAACAGACAGACCAUGGUUAUGGGAGCCAGACAAACAAACAGACAGACCAUGGUUAUGGGAGCCAGACAAACAAACAGACAGACCAUGGUUAUGGGAGCCAGACAAACAAACAGACAGACCAUGGUUAUGGGAGCCAGACAGACCAUGGUUAUGGGAGCCAGACAGACCAUGGUUAUGGGAGCCAGACAGACAGACAUACCAUCGUUAUGGGAGCCAGACAGACCAUUGUUAUGGGAGCCAGACAGACCAUUGUUAUGGGAGCCAGACAGACCAUUGUUACGGGAGCCAGACAUACCAUCACUAUGGGAGCCAGACAGACAGACAUACCAUCGUUAUGGGAGCCAGACAGACCACCGUUAUGGGAGCCAGACAGACCAUCGUUUUGGGAGCCAGACAGACCAUCGUUUUGGGAGCCAGACAGUCAGACCAUUGUUACGGGAGCUACACAGACCAUCGUUAUGGGAGCCAGACAGACAGACCAUUGUUAUGGGAGCCAGACAGACAUACCAUUGUUACGGGAGCUACACAGACCAUCGUUAUGGGAGCCAGACAGACAGACCAUCGUUAUGGGAGCCAGACAGACAGACCAUUGUUACGGGAGCUACACAGACCAUCGUUAUGGGAGCCAGACAGACAGACCAUCGUUAUGGGAGCCAGACAGACAGUCCAUCGUUAUGGGAGACAGACAGACCAUCGUUAUGGGAGACAGACAGACCAUCGUUAUGGGAGACAGACAGACCAUCGUUAUGGAAGCCAGACAGACCAUCGUUAUGGGAGCCAGACAGACCAUCAUUAUGGGAGCCAGACAGACCAUCGUUACGGGAGCUAGACAGACAGAUGAUCAUUAUGGGAGCUUCACAGCCAGAAAGACCACCGUUAUGA
rnacentral:lncRNA from 1 species